CUGUUUCUGUGUCAUUGGACUGAACCAGGCUACAUGGUUACCCCUUGGCUGGAAAGUGUCUAGGAAGAAGGAAGUUGUGUCUGCCACAAGGAGGAAGCAGACAGUGGUCAAUUGAUCCACCCUGCAUCUGAAUUCUGCAGGGCUCUUUCUAAGGCUCAGUUCAGCCAGACACUGUCCAGCUUAAGACCCUCAGUCUGCAUACUGACUCUCUAAGUACAAAUGCCUGGAAGUAACUCCGGACACCUGCGUCACUCUUCCUUGAGGAGACUCCACACCCAAGGAUGUUACAGUACAUACAAAACUACUUUUAUAGCAAUUUUUGGGAGAAGGUGAAGAAGAUCUUUGGCUUUAUCAUUGAAGAUAAACAUUGGAAUGGCCAAGAAUUCAUAAUGCCAAACGAUGCUUCAGAAAAAUGGUAGAACAACGAGGAUAAUUUCUAUCCUUGAUACUCAAAGAGUGGCCCUCAAAGUCUGGCAACAUCAGCAUCUUAUAGGAGCUUGUUAGAAAUGUGGAAUCUAAGUUCCCACUCCAGAUUCAGAAGGUGCAUUUUAACAAGAUCGCCAGUAAGUUGGAGUCUGAAUCUCAACCAAACUGACAAAAUCUUGGCCCCAUCAAUAUUUUCUGUCUGCAACAAUUUGGCAUCCAUUCAUGGAGAAAAGUGGCCUUCGUGGGAACUGUGGGAUCCAAUGCCAUGUGCCAAGGGACCUGGGAGAAAGCUCAUACACCUGUGCAUUGCAUAAUAGGCAUACAGACCUCGAUACUAGCUGUGGACGCUGCAGUGGCCCAUGAACCAGAUCCAGUCCCUCUCAGCAACGGUCUGGAAGCCCCUGGAGAACACUGUCUCAGACAAUCACCCAUGGAGGAGGGAGCCUUUGUGGAAGUCCAAGUUUCCAGCAGAGAAGUUUCAGCACACCAUUGGAGUAAAAAAAAAUAAUUGUAUGCAUUAGAGAGGGUAAGAGGAACAGUUUGAUGUCACCCACAUCACGCCUCCCUGAAGGUUGCACUGCUCAAGGCCAAAAGAGACAUUCUUGGCUCAUGAUGUCUCCCAGUGGGGAAAGUGAGAGCUUGUGACUGAGUGCCCAGCUUCCCCAGCUAUGUGAGACACUGCCAAAGCUCAUUUCUCUCUUGUUCAGUCCCCAGUACUGAAUAGUGAGCUGCAGACUGAGGGGUGGAAGAGAGAGGACUCUUGGAGGGCAUUAAAGGGACAUGGAUGCUACUAACCAGGUCACAGGCUCCAUCAAGAAGCUCUCUGACAAGCCACUGGGGACACUUUGCCCAUGGAUCCCCCAACCCUCAGAACAUCACAUGCCUCACUGACAUACUCCCCCCAACUUGUGGUGGCUCCCUAUGCGUGCUCCCAGUGGUAGCAAGAGUGAACUUCGGCAGAUGGCUACUGAGCAUGUGCAGAAAGUGGGCCCAAAUCUGCAGGACAGGGAGAGACCACAAACUUGAGCUUUAGCAUAGCCCUUGGGAAGGCAAAAUGGAGGCUGUCAGCACCUGGCCUGGUGUGUUACAAGAUCAAAAGAAGGCAUACAAGCUUAAAAAUUCUGCCACAAAGAGAGCAAGAAGUAUGGAGCACGUGUAUCCAUUGAAGGUCUGAGAAAGCCUCAGAAUCUCUAGCAGGGCUAUGAGAUGUACUUCUCUCCCGAAGUCAGUCAAUAAAGACUGGAGGAGGUGACUGCUACUUCAAAUACAAAGACAGUAAUGCAAGACAUUAAGGAAUAUAAAAAAUCAAGGAAACAUGACACGGCAAGAGGAUCACAGUAGUCUUCUAGGAACAGACCCUAAAGACAUGGAAAUCUGCGAUUUAUCUUAUAAAUAAUUCAAAAUAGCUAUUUUAAGGAAGCUCAAUGAACUACAAGAAAACACAGAAAGACAAUUCAAUGAAAUCAAGAAAACAAUUCACAAACAAAAUAAGAAGUUUAACAAAGAGGUAGAAAUCAUAAAAAAAGAACCAAACAGAAAUUCUGGAUCUGAAGAAUACAAUGAAUGAAAUGAAAAUGUAGCCCACUCCAUGGGUGGAUUGAAUUGUUUUUGGGUCUAUAGCUGGGAUUACAGUCAGAGACUCCACUGUCUGGACGUGGGCCUGCUUUCUCAAAAUGGCCCUCCUCAGUCUUGGGCUCCACCAGGGUUUCACAAUCUCCUGCCUGGAUCCCAAAACUCCCACAGAGGCACUUUUAUCUCUGGAUGGCUGUGAAAUUAUUGUUGCAGAGGGAAGAUAUGAGCAGGGAAUCUCCUUUUCUACCAUUUUUCUAAUGUUACUCUCCAGUAUUCAUUUCCUUACAUGACCAUCUAUCUGUGAGGUAGUCUACAAAAUAGAGCAUUAAACAUUCCCUUUUAGUUAAAUGAUCUAGCAACAUAAUUCUGACCAAAGAGACUUAUGCACCAAUUUGCUCGUCACAACAGUUUUUGGACUCUGAAAGCCAUUAAUGGGCCCUAUCACAGUUUUCAGAAAGGAAAUGCUUCUCUUUAAAUGUCCUGUAACAAAACUAAGAGCCUGUCAGGCACACAAGUGAAGGAAGUCUCCAGUGAUUUUCCUGGUGGUCUCUCAUGGUGAGUGGGAUGUUACUGACACAAAAUUAUUAUUUUUCUCCCAGCACCAAAAGUUCCAGAUUAAUAAAAUAUUACACUUUUAUUUUUAAUAUUUGACUAUUAGCUGACCAUAAAAGUAUUAUUUUGAGGAAAAACAUUUUUAAAUGUAAAAAAAAGUUCCGAAAUCUGGAUGGCACGAUAUUCAGAAUCUAGCAACAGUAGAAAGUCAUCAUCAACCCUUGAGCUGAAGGAAAGGGAGAUAGAAGGAGUGAAGUCAAGCAACAAGUGGCACUGUGGAGGAAGGACUGAGAGGCAGGAGUAGAGGACGUAGCUACUGUGGGACGUGCGUUGUUGAACAUGGGAGGAAGAGGGGAAUAAAUGACAGGCAAAUGCCUGCCGUUGGUCAAACUCUACUGGAAGCCCAAGAGCAAGGGAGCCCAGCUGGUAAAAUAUGCAGCCCAGUUGGCAGAGAGUUGAUCAGAGGAUUAGGGAGAAUGGAUCUUGGGGAAGAGUAAAAUUGAGGAUAGUCAUCACAUAGGGAAAAAUCUUGUAAGGUAAAGGACACUUCUGAGUUCUCCUCAAAUAUCAGUAUAUAGGACAAAGGCCUACUUCACCUAACAUAGGAUGAAGGAGUCUUUGAUAUUUUUGUAAGUGAGCUAUGUAGGACCAAAGUUCUGAUCCCAUUGCAUAAUUUUCAGUGUUGAAUACAUGUGUGGUGGAUCUGGGUGUGGUGUGGCAGCCAGAAACUGGGGCUUGUCAAGCAAGUUAUUCUAACUUUUAAAAAUCUUGUGGUAGGUUAAAGAUGGUUAAAAGAAAUUAUUUGCUGUUCCUCCUAUUGCAAGGUAGUUAUUGAUUUCCCUUCCCCCUUGAAUCUUGGCUAAACUUAUGAUUUACUGGACCAAUAGAACAUUGCAGAAGUUAUGUUUGAAGCUCUGAAGCUCAAAUGUAAGAAGCCUUGCAGCUUUCACCUGGAUCUCUUGGAGUAAUUGCUCUUGGGAAACUCUCUCUCCCAAAACAGCUGCCACACUUUGAGAAAACCAAGCCACAUGUGCAGCUCACGUAUACGUACUCUAGUCAAACUGCCCAGCUUUCCACCCCAGCCCAUACCAACUCUAGGCCAUGAGGGUCAGCCAUCUUACACAUCUACCUAGGAGAGCCUUCAGGUGAGUGUAGGUGCACUUCCCAUCUGACUGCAACUGCCUGGGAGGCCACAAAUAACAGUGUCCCAGCUGAGCCCUGUCAACACAGAGUCAUGAAAGAUAAUAAAGAAUUGUAGUUUUGAGCUGUUAGGUUUGGGGGUGGUUUUUAACCCAGCAACAGGUAAGUGGGAAAAAAAUCUGAAGGAAAUAGUUUCAUAAUUUCUGGAAAGUCGGGGAAAAAUAACCAGUGAUCACUUCUCCUAUCGCUGACUUGGAGAAAUAACUUUAAGAUUUAGUUUCAAAUUAAUCUUUUUAUCCAAAAUUUAGAAUUUUUUUUUAAUGAUAAGUCUAUGGACCCUUCAAAUCAAGAUUAUUCUUAUUAUCAGAUAAUUUUUUUGCUUGGUAAUUUUUUUAUGAACUUGCUCAUGAGAUCUUUAUGCAAAUUUCUAUCUUUCCUAUUCUUUACCUUCUGAAGAUGGAUUCCAUUGGCAUCUAAGCGUAAUGUGCCAUAUAUAGCCAGAAAUAGAUAGUCUAGAGCCUGGCAGUUUGACCAUGUUUGCACUCCAUUCUCAAUAGAAACUGAUGGCCAUGCUUCUCAAGCUUCAGUAUGCACAUUCAUCACCUGGGGAUCUGGCGAAAAUUCAGAUUGAUUUGUAGGUUUGGGGGCUUAUCAUCAUAUCAUACUAAAAAAUAAAUCCACUCUGUUUCCAGUGUCAGUUUGCUGUUAGAGAUUGGAGAUUAGGUUAAAUUCAGAAUAUAGGUCUAUUAUAUUUUGACUCUCUUCUUGCCUAGCAUGCUCAUAUUCUUGCAUACCCUCUGUUUUUCUGCAAAAAGCUGAUAAAAACAGGAAAGCAUGAGAUUCAAUUAAUGUUUAUAAAUUGUGUAGAUGAUUCAUAGCGAAGUAGAGGACAGGUUUAACGUAAAAUGUAUAUAUAUGCACAAGGCACUGUUAGUAGAGCUAACAUGGUUUAUGAUUACAAAUCAUUUUAGAGGGACUGCUAACAUUGACGAUCUAUUUAAGAUAUCAAGUAACCAAAUGAAAAUGCAAAUUAAAUGUACUGUUGUGGAGUUUUCAUUCCAAAUUGUGUUGUUUGGUCUCCUUGAAUAUCUGUCUCUCUACCACCUUGCUAUAACCAAAUUUCCAUUUUAUUUUUCAUCUAUCAAAAUGGCAAAUAUGAUUUUUUUUGAAGUUAUGGUUAAGAAGUCUCAAGGAAUUUGGCAUUCUCAAACACUGCUGAUGGAAGUUUAAAUCAGUUCAACAUUUUUGGACAAAGUAUA